UGAUUAAGUAAGAAAGGGCGUACGGUGGAUGCCUAGGCACUUGAAACUGAAGAAGGACGCAACAAACGGCGAAACGCGGCGGGGAGCUGUACGUAAGCAAAGAUCCGCCGGUAUCCGAAUGGGGGAACCCGGCAUGCGUAAUAGCAUGUCAUCCGCAGAUGAAUACAUAGUCUGCGAGAGAGGUACCCGGGGAACUGAAACAUCUAAGUACCCGGAGGAAAAGAAAACAACAGUGAUUCCCUGAGUAGCGGCGAGCGAAAGGGGAGGAGCCCAAACCAGACCGAGGUCUGGGGUUGAAGGACCGCGAUACGGCAAGAAUCAUGGUAGGAGAACGGCAUUGAAAGGCCGACCGGAGAGGGUGCAAGUCCCGUAUCCGAAACCGUGAGGAAGCCCAGCGGGAUCCUGAGUACGGCGAGACACGAGAAAUCUUGUCGGAAGCAGGCGGGACCAUCCGUCAAGGCUAAAUAUAAGCAAGUGACCGAUAGUGAACCAGUACCGUGAGGGAAAGGUGAAAAGAACCGCGGGAGCGGAGUGAAAUAGAACCUGAAACCGUAUGCUUACAAGAAGUCAGAGCACGUUAAGGUGUGAUGGCGUGCCUUUUGUAGAAUGAACCGGCGAGUUAUGUUAUCGUGCGAGGUUAAGCAGGAGAUGCGGAGCCGAAGCGAAAGCGAGUCUUAAUAGGGCGGCAGUACGAUGACAUAGACCCGAAACCGUGUGAUCUAGCCAUGACCAGGUUGAAGUUCAGGUGAAACUGAAUGGAGGACCGAACCGACCCCCGUUGAAAAGUUGGCGGAUGAGUUGUGGCUAGGGGAGAAAUUCCAAUCGAACACGGAUAUAGCUGGUUCUCCCCGAAAUAGCUUUAGGGCUAGCGUCGAGGAUGAGUCUUGUGGAGGUAGAGCACUGAAUGUACGAUGGCCCCAUCCCGGGGUACUGAGUAUAAUCAAACUCCGAAUGCCAUGAGAUAUUCCCGGCAGUCAGACCGUGGGUGAUAAGGUCCAUGGUCAAAAGGGAAACAGCCCAGACCGCCAGUUAAGGUCCCAAAAUGUAUGCUAAGUGGAAAAGGAUGUGGGGAUGCACAGACAACUAGGAGGUUGGCUCAGAAGCAGCCAUCCUUCAAAGAGUGCGUAACAGCUCACUAGUCGAGUGACCCUGCGCCGAAAAUGUACCGGGGCUAAGCAUACUACCGAAGCUGCGGAUUUGUAGUAAUACAAGUGGUAGGGGAGCGUUCCAUGCACGUGGAAGCCAUACCGAAAGGAGUGGUGGAGAGCAUGGAAGUGAGAAUGCCGGUGUGAGUAGCGAGAUGCAGGUGAGAAUCCUGCACACCGAUAGCCCAAGGAUUCCAGGGGAAGGUUCGUCCGCCCUGGGUAAGUCGGGACCUAAGGCGAGGCCGAAAGGCGUAGUCGAUGGAAAACAGGCAGAUAUUCCUGUACCCGCGAUGGAAAUGAAGGAAUGACGGAGAAGGCUAGCAUGAGCCACUUAUUGGAUUGUGGUCGAAGCGAAUAGCAGGUGCAUAGUAAAAUGCGUGCACGGAAUGUAAAACGUGACAGGUAAGCGAAACCCCUGGGGAGUAGCGAAGCAUGCGAGGCCAGCUUCCAGGAAAAGUUUCUAGUGCUAAUUCCAUAGCGGCCCGUACCAAAACCGACACAGGUGGGCAAGGAGAGUAUCCUGAGGUGAGCGAGAGAACUGUUGCCAAGGAACUCGGCAAAAUGACUCCGUAAGUUAGCGAGAAGGAGUGCUUAUGAAAGUAAGCCGCAGUGAAGAGGCCCAAGCGACUGUUUAACUAAAACACAGCUCUCUGCGAAGUCGCAAGACGAAGUAUAGGGGGUGACGCCUGCCCGGUGCUGGAAGGUUAAGAGGAUUUGUCAGUUUCGACGAAGCAAUGAAUUGAAGCCCCAGUGAACGGCGGCCGUAACUAUAACGGUCCUAAGGUAGCGAAAUUCCUUGUCAGGUAAGUUCUGACCCGCACGAAAGGCGUAACGAUUUGGGCGCUGUCUCGGCAGCAGACUCGGUGAAAUCUUAGUACCUGUGAAAAUGCAGGUUACCCGCAACUAGACGGAAAGACCCCAUGGAGCUUUACUGCAGCCUGAUAUUGGAUUUUGAUCAGAGAUGUACAGGAUAGGUGGGAGACGAAGAAGGAUGCACGCCAGUGUAUCUGGAGUCGACGUUGGGAUACCACUCUUGUCUGAUUGGAGUUCUAACCUGCGUCCAUGAAGCUGGACGGGGGACCGUGUCAGGCAGGCAGUUUGACUGGGGCGGUCGCCUCCCAAAGAGUAACGGAGGCGCCCAAAGGUACGCUCAGAUUGGACGGAAAUCAAUCGGCGAGUGCAAAUGCAGAAGCGUGCUUGACUGUGAGACAAACAGGUCGAACAGGGACGAAAGUCGGGAUUAGUGAUCCGGCGGUGCCGAAUGGAAGGGCCGUCGCUCAACGGAUAAAAGCUACCCUGGGGAUAACAGGCUGAUCUCGCCCAAGAGUUCACAUCGACGGCGAGGUUUGGCACCUCGAUGUCGGCUCAUCGCAUCCUGGAGCUGAAUUCGGUUCCAAGGGUUGGGCUGUCCGCCCAUUAAAGCGGUACGCGAGCUGGGUUCAGAACGUCGUGAGACAGUUCGGUCCCUAUCUGUUGUGGGCGUAGGAGAUUUGAGGAGAGCUGUCCUUAGUACGAGAGGACCGGGAUGGACCUACCGCUGGUGCACCGGUUGUUGUGCCAACAGCAUAGCCGGGUAGCUAAGUAGGGAAGGGAUAAGCGCUGAAAGCAUCUAAGCGCGAAGCCUACUCCAAGAUGAGAUCUCCCAUACGCAAGUAGUAAGACCCCUUGAAGACGACGAGGUAGAUAGGUCAGGGAUGGAAGCGCAGCGAUGCGUGGAGUUGACUGAUACUAAUAGGUCGAGGACUUAAUCAAA
rnacentral:rRNA from 1 species